rnacentral:tRNA from 1 species
GGCCUCGUUGCUCAGAUAGCUAGUGCUUUGACUACUAAAAACUUCCCCUUCAUGGCGUGGGUUCGAAUCCCACCGAAGCCG